UACGAAGGGGGGCGAAGCGUUUGUUUCGGAUUUACUGGGCGUAAAGGGCGCGCAGGCGGCGCAUUUUGUCAGGCGUGAAAGCCCCGGGCUUAACCUGGGAACUGCGUUUGAUACGGAUGGGCUAGAGUCGGGAGAGGAGAGUGGAAUUCCCAGUGUAGAGGUGAAAUUCGUAGAUAUUCGCAAGAACACCAGUGGCGAAGGCGGCUCACUG
rnacentral:rRNA from 1 species